AGAGUGGGGCUCGUGUGAGCCCGCCUGGGCCCCACGGGAGAGCGACCGGGAGGGUUUGACCGCUUCCCGGAGGUGGACGGGUCGGGCUGGAGGGCAGGGCCGGCUGCUCCGGAUGGGGCUCCCCUGGGACUUGUGAGUUCCGGGUGUCCUGGGGGAGCAGGGGCCACAGGCUCGGCCGGGACGUGCCGCGUCCACCCCUCCCUCCAACCCCGAUCCUCCUCAUCGUCCUGCUGUCGCCGUGUCGGGCUCUCGCACGUGUCUCUCAAGGCCCAUCAGCAGGUCCGCCUCCACUGUCACAGUCCUGCACGUUGUUCCAAGAGCAGCGGAAAAUGAAUCGGUCUCCGG